rnacentral:rRNA from 1 species
UACGUAGGGUGCGAGCGUUAAUCGGAAUUACUGGGCGUAAAGCGUGCGCAGGCGGCUUGCCAAGUCAGAUGUGAAAGCCCCGGGCUUAACCUGGGAAUGGCGUUUGAAACUGGCAGGCUAGAGUUUGGCAGAGGGGGGUGGAAUUCCGACGUGUAGCAGUGAAAUGCGUAGAGAUGUGGAGGAACACCGAUGGCGAAGGCAGCCCCCUGGGCCAAAACUGACGCUCAGGCACGAAAGCGUGGGGAGCAAACAGG